GCUCUUGUGGUGAAAUGGAUAUCAUAUCGGUCUUCGAAACCGGCGUUCCAGGUUCGAAUCCUGGCAGGGGCA
rnacentral:tRNA from 1 species